rnacentral:rRNA from 1 species
UACGGGGGGGGCAAGCGUUGUUCGGAAUUACUGGGCGUAAGGCGCGUAGGCGGCCUGCUAAGUCGGACGUGAAAUCUCUCGGCUCAACCGAGAGAGGCUGUCCGAUACUGCUGGGCUUGAGGACGGUAGAGGGUGGUGGAAUUCCGCGUGUAGCGGUGAAAUGCGUAGAGAUGUGGAGGAACACCCGUGGCGAAAGCGGCUCUCUGGAACGGUACUGACGCUGAGACGCGAAAGCGUGGGGAGCGAACAGG